rnacentral:rRNA from 1 species
GGAAUAUUGCACAAUGGGCGCAAGCCUGAUGCAGCCAUGCCGCGUGUAUGAAGAAGGCCUUCGGGUUGUAAAGUACUUUCAGCGGGGAGGAAGGCGAUGCGGUUAAUAACCGCGUCGAUUGACGUUACCCGCAGAAGAAGCACCGGCUAACUCCGUGCCAGCAGCCGCGGUAAUACGGAGGGUGCAAGCGUUAAUCGGAAUUACUGGGCGUAAAGCGCACGCAGGCGGUCUGUUAAGUCAGAUGUGAAAUCCCCGGGCUUAACCUGGGAACUGCAUUUGAAACUGGCAGGCUUGAGUCUUGUAGAGGGGGGUAGAAUUCCAGGUGUAGCGGUGAAAUGCGUAGAGAUCUGGAGGAAUACCGGUGGCGAAGGCGGCCCCCUGGACAAAGACUGACGCUCAGGUGCGAAAGCGUGGGGAGCAAACAGGAUUAGAUACCCUUG